CCAGUGCAGUAAACACAUCGAGCCCACUGCACAGUGGUAACCUAGCAAUUUUUCGCCGCCCUCCUCCUCUAGCACGACGAACACAUCGAGGCAGUAAUCGUUGCCACCUUCUGUCCUUCUUCAAUCUUCAGCCGUCAGCACAUCAUCUCCUUCUUCACUCUUCAGCCGUCGGUUCUCCUCGCUUAGCCUCUUGCAAAUCUUGAGCUGCCGAGGCGCCGAUUCUCCUCAGUCCUCGCUCAGCCUCUUCCUCUUGCAAUACCUUUUCAAGCACUGCUGCACUGCUAAGUGGCAUUUCAAGUUUUAGCAUAGCACCGGAUUUUACGGGUAGGCAGUGGACUUCUCUUUAUCUUAAAGUGACAAAUCAUAGCCUCACAGGUUAUAAAUGGAACACCAACAACCUUCAAAUAAAAAGCCAAAAACAUUAUUGUCAUUUUUUAGGAAAAGAGAUGAUCAGUAUGAAUCUGAUAAUCAAUUGCAAUGUGAUAUACCUCUUAGAUCAACAGUUGGAUCCUCUACUUCCGAUUUACAGCCUCAUUUUGUAUCUAGGCCAAUAGAACAAAGAGAAGAAGAAUUUGAUAUUUCUUCUAUUGAACGAGAUCCAGGAUUACGAAAAUUGAUUUGUGAAUACUUUGUUAAUGAGCGGGAUGAGAUUAGAAGAGCAUAUAUCAAAGCAGGUCCUUAUCAACCCAAACUUAAUGAGUAUCCAAGAACAAAAAUUGGAAAGCAAAAUCGGCGAUUUCAAUAUGUUUGGUUCAAACAAUUUCCUUGGCUAGAAUAUUCACCUUCAAAGGACAAAGCAUAUUGUUUUCCAUGCUUUCUUUUUGAGAAUACAAGUAAUCCAAUGGCUCGUUCUGCACUUGUUUCUGAAGGGUUUAACAGUUGGAAGAGAGUUAAUGAUGGAGAAAAAUGUGCAUUUCUUAUUCAUGUUGGUUCAUUGUCUUCAUCACAUAAUAGAUGUGUGAAAUGUGUUCAGGAUUUGAUGAAACCAAAGCAAAAUAUUGACAAAGUGUUGAAUGCUCAAUCUACGGAAGAA